CCGAGUACAAAGUCUCAGGCGAUAAAAAUUAGUGUAGUUGUUUUGGUAACUGCUCCCUCUUUAGUUAUUUAACAAGUGACAUAAAGAUGUUUUUAAGUCUUGUUUCAGUAUCGUCGUGUUGUCCAUCCUGAUGAACGAAACAACUGUGAUAUUGUCAGACCUUAACUUUAAACUGAGCCACAAACCCGCAUGAUAACUCUCAGCAUUCGUCAUUGUAAUCCUAUUAUUUUCUAAUGGAGGCCUAAUCAACAAGUGAGAGGGGAUGUUUGUUUAAGAAGUUUAUCAUUUAUCAAAAGAAAGUGGAAUAAUUGAUGAAACAAUUCAUGGACAAUAAGGGAACAAUAUCACUAUCAAAGUCGACGCCAGCAUUCAACAUUGAAGAUAGUACAGGAAUUAAUAGUCGUAGACCGUCUUCGUGGGCAGGGAACAGUGAACUAGAUGCAGCCCCAUCAAGGAGACCAUCAGGAAAACGUUUAAAAGUAAAUUCUGCCAUGUGUACCUGUGGGAAAAGAAGACAUGAUGAAGAGAAAUAUGACACUAGUGACACCUGUACAGGUGAUGAGGAACUCGGAAAGAACAGUAGAUCACCUGAACUCUUUCAGAAAACAUCAUUUUAUUUUAGCUGUUUAAGAAGAAAAAAAACGUCAGAUGAUAAAAAAUAAAGGAAUUAAGUGGGUAAUGUUGUUUUGACGUCUGUAUUUAUUUCAUGUUUGUCGUGAUUUCUGAAAUAUAAAAGUAGUUACGAAGAAACUGUUUAAAUGGCAUUGAAAUUCAUUUAGUUUGCAAAAUUGUGAUUAUUGUAUAGUUUUUUUAGUAAACCACUGAAACAACAUUCAUUAAGAUACAAAUUGUGUGAAUAGCUUUAAUUUGAAUCUAGCUGUAGUAACCAAAAGUCCAAUAAAGUUACAGAAAGUAAUAUAAUGGGAAAAUUACCUUUUAAAUGUCAAUUAUAUGAAAACUAGAAACAUUGUAAAAAAUACUAACUUCUUGUACUUUGUUAAAGACAAUUGUUUAGGUUCUGCUACGAAGUCACUAUUCAUCUGUGACGUUUAGCAAACCAGUUAAUUUACAAAACAUUAUUCUUCAAAAAACAAGUUAUUUGUUGGGAAUUUUAGGGUUAUCUACUCGUAACCAUCCCUAGUUUGAACUGACGACCAGAACUCACUGGCAACUCUCUUGGGAUACACUUGCAUGUUUGAAUAGUGGGAAUUAACCCUCUUAAAUGUGGAGCAUGUUUUUAUGGCAAUGGGACACGAACCAUGAACUCUCUGAUUUACAACUAAACAUUAGGUCGUGCCUGGACCAAAACAGACUGAUUGCCCCAUUAAUGAAAUACCCUGGAUUUUUCAAACGUAUCAAUAAAUUCCCAAUUUUAAAUUACUAGAACACACUGGAAUAAUAAUAGUUAGAAAUGUAUCCCAACAUUUACUCAGUGACAA